rnacentral:lncRNA from 1 species
AUUGGAAUUGGUGCCCAGGCCUCUUCUCUCCAUCUUGGUUAUCUUGGGUGCAUGUGUGUGUUUGAUUGGAAUUGGUGCCCAGGCCUCUUCUCUCCAUCUUGGUUAUCUUGGAUGUAUGUGUGUGGUUGUCAGCUGAGCUGUAACAUCCAUCUAAAGUAGUGUAUGGUGUUUGUCUGGUGGGAGGUUUCUUAAAACCUUCCAUUUCAGGAUCAGAGAUGAGACCUCGGAGGCAAUCCUACGUUUGUGUGAGUGCCCAUGACUUCCGUGGGAGCUACAGUGGGAGAUGGUGGAUUGGGUUUCUUGGGCUUUGGAAAUGUUGCUGGGAGAAGAAUUGGGAAUUUGUAUUUCAUUAGUCUAACUAGAAGGAAUUCCGAGGUUCAUUUUUGCUUGUUAGGAUUCUUGUCAAUUUUUAUUUCAUCUGUAGGAAAACAACGAAGUUGAGAAGCAGAUUGGUAGCUCUCUGAGGUCGGCAGUUUUGGUCUUUGGAACAAGGUCUUUGGAACAUAUCUUGUUUUAUUAACGAUGUUCUAAUUCAUUUCCCAGGAGUUGAUCUUUUUAAUCCUCCAGUAUUUAUGCUUUUGAUUCCCUCAGAGCUCCUCUCUCUCUCUCUCUCUCUCUCUCUCUCUCUCUUAUCAUUCAAAGUCUGGUGAUUUUACACAGAGAAAAAAGGACUUACACUCUCCAUCUGACUUUCUACUCACUCUUAAAAUUCUUGGAUUUACAGAUUAUGAUUACAUGAUGGAAAAGCCAUUUUGCACCUCAAAAAGGAUUUACCUUAGUAAUUUGUGACAUUUUCAUAUCAAAAUAUUUCACAAGGGAUGGGAUAAGGAGAGCCUUUUAUUCUUGCAAGAGACUGCAAGCUACUUAUAGCUUAUUACCAUUAAAAAAGGGGGGGGGGCGGAUAUUCCCUUGACAAAACUCUGCCUCUGGGCCAGAAGUUUUCUUUCCAGAAUGUUCUAAGGGUAGAAGAACUAUGGAAAUUGAAAGGAAAGGUAAAAAUACAUAAAUAAAUAAACACGUGAGGACUGACUUGCCUUUUCCAGAUGACAAAUCCUCUGAGGGAGAUUGACAAGACCGUGGGGCAGUUAAUGGACGGACUGAAACAACUCAAGCUGCACCGUUGUGUGAAUGUUAUCUUUGUUGGAGACCAUGGUAAGGCUUCAUUUUGCUAUUAAGAGAGAAGCUUCACAGGGUGGUGGUGGUGGUACAUCCCUUCAGUCCCAGAACUUGGGAGGAUCUUUGUGAGUUUGAAGCCAGUCUAGUCUAUAGAGUGAGUUCCAGGACAACUAGAGCUACAAAGUGAGACCCUGUCUCAAGAAGCUAAAGCAACUGAGCAACCCAGCAAACUAAAAAGUCAGAAGUUUCCCAGGGUAUUGAACAAAGGAACCCCUGCUCUCUGAGUCCAAAAUUCUCUUCUUAACUUCCUUUUACCUCCCCCCCCCUUUGCUUCAGGAUAGGGAAGGAAAUUAGGUCAUGAUACAAAAGUUAGAGAAACCCAGGGAUUUCUUCAUUCCCAUGUUCUUUGCAGGGGAGGCCUUGCUGCAAAAAUCUGUCUCCUAUUAAAGUCUCGCAGACAGUUUACAUGUGGUAGGAAUGACUUCUUCUGUGAAUUCAACGUGGCAGGUGAUAGGCUUCUGCCUCUGUGAAACAUAUCUCCAGAAGGAGUGUACAAAGUUGUGUAGCUAAAUGAAUACUUCUAAAUAUGUGAAGGAGGUAGAGAUAUAGAGCUCUUGUCAAAACUAUGGCAUUUUAGAAACAUGGUUUCCUGGAGCUCUCAGAGGGAAUCCAAGGCUGAAAUCAAGGACUCAACACAGGAACUUAUUAGGAGAAGGGAUCAGUAGCCUGUUCUCUUCCUCUUUCUUCAUUCCUGCUCCUCUCCUUUUUCAUCCUCUCUUCCUCCCUCCCUCCAUCACUCCCUCCCUCCCUCUUUUCCUCUCUCCCUCUCUCCCUCCUCCUCCCCCUCCCUUCCUCCCUUCCUUUCUUCCACUACAUAGCCCAAGACACACUAAACACACUUAUUCUACUGUCUCAGUCUUUCAGCACCUGGGACCAUAGGUGUGUGCCACCAUGCCAUCGUAGGGAUGGUUUCUCUAAAAUACUUCUUAAAUUAGAAAAACAUUUUUUUCCUCAUGAGUAUUUUUUUUGAGGCAAUUGAGAAACCAUAAAUAUCAUAUGAUUAUAGAGCUAAGGCCUCAGGGACUAUCUGGAAUAUAUAUUUUUAUUCAGCCUUCUCACUAACCCCUCCCAGAUCUAACCAGCCUCUCCACCUCUCACACUUCUUCCCAUCCUUGUGUCUUUUUUUUUUUUUUUUUUUUUUUAAAUUCACUAAGUCCAGUUUGUGCUACUCAUGUAUCCAAGACUGUAGUGUGGGGCCAUCUUUGGAACAUGGUAGACUUACUGGGGGUUACAUUCUUAAAGAAAACGGAUUCUCCUUUCCCUAAGACUCACUAACUGUCAAUAGCGCUUCAGUUAGAAUGGACACUCAUGUUUCUUUCCCCCCUCAUAAUGGAGUGUUGACUGUCCUGAUCUUGUGCAGGCAACCACAGGUGCUGUGAUUUUUUUUUCUUUUUUCUUUUUUUUGAGUGCAGUGGUUUUGUCAUAUCUAGAAGAAGACAUGGUUUCUCUUUUGCCCUGACUCCAUCUCUAGCUCUUACGUUGCUUUCACCCUGUCUUCUGCGAUAGACUCCGAGUCGUUGGGUUGCGAUAGUCAUGUUCCUCUUAUGGCUGAGUACUCCAGAAACUUAUUUUCUGAAGUUUGUCAAGUUGUGAGUUUCUUCAUUAACUGUUGCCCACUGCACAACAAACAAACAAACAAACAAACAAACAAACAAACAAACCCUGGUGAGAUCUAAGAGCUGCACUAAUCUGUGGAUAUAGAAAUACAAGUGUAGAGGGUAGUUGGACACUAUGUUCUCUUAACUAAAUAAUAACAUUUGGCUUACCCCUGGAUCCUGUCGCUCAUCAGUCAUGUUCUCUUGGCCAGAUUCAUAUUACCAGACAUGUUUCCUACUAUGGAGCAGGCCUGAAAUCCAAGUAGAGUGUGAUUGAUUACCCUCAUAAAGUUCAUGCCACUAUUACAUGCAGGGGCUAUCUUGCCACACUGGUCCUUGUCGUUGACAGGACUCAUGGCUGAGUAAGGCUGUUGAGGGUUUUUUUUGUCCCAGGAGCCUACAUAGCACCUUCUUAUACUCUGAAAUAUAGCCAGCAGAGAGAGAGAGAGAGAGAGAGAGAGAGAGAGAGAGAGAGAGAGAGAGAGCUUCAUAUUCAGUAUCAACUGAGAUUUUGGAGAACAUUUUUAUUCACAGACAUGUAGACUCAGUUCUAGAGAGUGCCACCUAUGUUCUGAAACUCUCAAACUGCGAAUUAUAAUAAUGACCUUGGAAUUUGAGGCCUUUCCCUUUUAGUAGAGU